rnacentral:rRNA from 1 species
UACAGAGGUCUCAAGCGUUGUUCGGAUUCAUUGGGCGUAAAGGGUGCGUAGGCGGCGCGGUAAGUCGGGUGUGAAAUCUCGGAGCUUAACUCCGAAACUGCAUUCGAUACUGCCGUGCUUGAGGACUGGAGAGGAGACUGGAAUUUACGGUGUAGCGGUGAAAUGCGUAGAUAUCGUAAGGAAGACCAGUGGCGAAGGCGAGUCCCUGGACAACACCUGACACUGAGGCACGAAAGCUAGGGGAGCAAACAGG